rnacentral:rRNA from 1 species
GAUGAACGCUGACAGAAUGCUUAACACAUGCAAGUCGAUGGGGAAGUGGUGCUUGCACCAUGGUAACCAUGGCGGACGGGUGAGUAACGCGUAAGGAACUUGCCUGCUGGACUGGGAUAACAGCAGGAAACUGCUGAUAAUACCGGAUAAGGUCAUUAAGCUGCAUAGCUUAGUGAUGAAAGGAGACACCUGCGGAGAGCCUUGCGUCCUAUUAGCUAGUUGGAGGGGUAACGGCCCACCAAGGCGAAGAUAGGUAGCCGGCCUGAGAGGGUGGACGGCCACAAGGGGACUGAGAUACGGCCCUUACUCCUACGGGAGGCAGCAGUGGGGAAUAUUGGACAAUGGGGGCAACCCUGAUCCAGCAAUUCUGUGUGCACGAAGACGGUUUUCGGAUUGUAAAGUGCUUUCAGAAGGGAAGAAGGAAGUGACGGUACCUGCAGAAGAAGCGACGGCUAAAUACGUG